rnacentral:lncRNA from 1 species
CUCAACACAAUAACCGUAUCUUAUUCAUCACUGACUAAAAGAACCUUUUGCUCAUAGCAAGGACUCAGUUUCCUUGUAAAUAAGUUUCAGAUGAAUAGAGGUAAGCAAGAGGUAACUCAAGAGGUCCGCAGUCACAGCUAUCACCGGCCUGCAGCUAGGUGUGAAACACACAGAAGAGGAACCUCAAAGACACAGUGAGGGCUAAGAGUUCCAGGUGGUCCGGUGGUUAGGACUCCAUGCUUUCACUGCCAACGUUGAAGAUUCAGCCCCUGAUCCCAGAAGAUCUUGUAAGGCAUGUAGAAGGGCCUUAAAAAAAAAAAAAGAGA